rnacentral:rRNA from 1 species
UACGUAGGUGGCAAGCGUUGUCCGGAAUUACUGGGUGUAAAGCGCGUGUAGGCGGGAGGCCAAGUCUGCUGUGAAAUCGCCCGGCUCAACUGGGCGGGGUCGGUGGAAACUGGUCACCUGGAGGACGGUAGAGGCGAGUGGAAUUCCCGGUGUAGUGGUGAAAUGCGUAGAGAUCGGGAGGAACACCAGUGGCGAAGGCGGCUCGCUGGGCCGGAACUGACGCUGAGGAGCGAAAGCGUGGGUAGCAAACAGG